UACAGAGGGGGCAAGCGUUGUUCGGAAUUACUGGGCGUAAAGGGCGCGUAGGCGGCCUUCUAAGUCGAACGUGAAAUCCCCGGGCUCAACCCGGAACUGCGUCCGAUACUGGAAGGCUUGAAUCCGGGAGAGGGAUGUGGAAUUCCUGGUGUAGCGGUGAAAUGCGUAGAGAUCAGGAGGAACACCCGUGGCGAAGGCGGCCCUC
rnacentral:rRNA from 1 species